GGGGUUGACUGGAUUUGACGGCAAGAUGAAAUGGUGUGUAAGCAUGCGGAGCUGGGCGGCUGGAGGCUCCAUAAUCUCUUUGGCCGGAAAAUUAAUUGGCAACAACGAGUAUGCUCUCGCUGCUUAAUCGAAGUACAGUAGAUUACGAGCUUAAUUCGCUUACAAGGUAGGCGAACGAGACGUCGCUCCAAGGAUGUGGUUCCGAAUCUGAGGAUCAAGCGGCGCAGUGAAAUCGGAAAUAGCCUGCGGCGGCCCCGCGUCGGAGGUGAAGCUUUUGGGGAUAAGGCGGCAGUUGGUGGUCCAGGUCUUGCUGUCGCACGAAAAUCGAGGCUGGAAUAAGCAUGUAGAAAGCGCAUGGUUUCCUUGUGCGGACGAGGGUUCGACUCCCUCCAGCUCCACUG
rnacentral:tmRNA from 1 species